UACGUAGGCAGCAAGCGUUGUUCGGAGUUACUGGGCGUAAAGAGUAUGUAGGCGGUGUUCUAAGUUCGGUGUGAAAUCUCCCGGCUCAACUGGGAGGGUGCGCCGAAGACUGGGAUGCUGGAGUCUCGGAGAGGAACGCGGAAUUCCUGGUGUAGCGGUGGAAUGCGCAGAUAUCAGGAGGAACACCCAUAGCGAAGGCAGCUCGCUGGGACGGUACUGACGCUGAGGCGCGAAAGCGUGGGGAGCGAACAGG
rnacentral:rRNA from 1 species